GACCAUCUUUGCCAGCCUCCUGGGGAAGCCUCUCAGAAAUGAGGGGCCCCCCCGGAGGCUGGCAAAGGUGGCGGGGGGGGGGGGAAGUGGUCCAGCAAGAUUUUGGAGAGAAACGUUCGGGGGGAAGGAACAGCGAGGCACUUGCAGAAUUACAGACAGAAAUUAGAACCCAAAUUGACGCCAAUUGAUCUAUCUCCCCUCUUUAAUUACUCCUGGGGCAUCUUUCCUUUUUUUUUUUUUAUCCCUCCUUAGCUUUUUACGCGCUCAUUUACCAAUUUACUCCCCACCCCACGUAACAGGGGGGCAGUGACCAAGGACGAGGAACACACGUAGUCACCACCGUCACCCGCGGCCCUGCCGCCAGCCUGCCCUCCGCCAUUUAUCACCUUUUUUUUAAUUUUUUUUUUAAUCUGUCCCUGUCGCUUGGGUUGAGUGGAGAGUGGAGCCUCUGUGGGGGUGCUGGCCACUGUGCCCCCCAGAGAAGUCAGGGGAAUGGAGACGGCCGCUGCCCGGCCUGGCCCCCGGGGGACGGUGGCUGGUCCCCAGGGGGUCCUGAGGGGCGGAGGAGGGGGCGGGGAGGCGUCUCUCCAGGUGUCAAGAAGGUGGCCGCCUUCCGCGCACUUGGGGAGGCUCUCCCCGUACCCCUCGGGAACAGCUUGCCCGCCUCCUCAGCGCCCCGUCUUGCCCCCAGGAAGCUCGGAGCUCCGCAGGGCUUCCUGGCGUCCAGGCGGGGUGAGGCCGGGUGGUAGGAGAGGCCGGGAGAGCCGGGCCCUGCAGAGCAGAAGAGCUGCGCAGUCCUCUGACCGCUGGGCCCCGGUGACGGGGCUGACACGGCCCAGGGGGCGGUUGUGCCAGCCCACCCCGGACGCAGCGGGCAGCUCUCCGUGGGUCAGCUCCAUCCCGACCCGGGCCCGUCCCGACCUCCGUGCCCAGCUCGUGGCCCUCCAUCUUGUCUCCUCCCCGAGUCCCCCCAGCUGUCUUCAGCGGGACCCCCUCUUGGGUCUGUGCCAUCACGCGGGGACCCCCACGCGCAGAACACCGAGUGUCAUCGUGCCCGCCGCCCCGUCCACCGCGCGGCCGUGUUCUCCUCCUCUUGCCCGUAACAUGCUGUUUCUGGCAGAAUCCACAGCCUGGGUUUUGUCUUUAACCUUUAUCGCUCGCCAUCCCAAUAAAGCAUUUAAAAUUAUUUUUUCUGAGUCGUCUGCUCUUUCGCUGGGGUGCCUGGUGGGGGAAGGGAAGGGGAGUCUGAGCCCUGGGGAGGGGGUGGGGUAGGUGGGAAG
rnacentral:lncRNA from 1 species